GAACAGCUGUAGAAUGUUCUGGGAAUGCAACAUUCUGAGAUAAGGAGGGCUGGCUGGAACAGCCUGAGCUCUGUUCUGGGACCCAGCUUUACUGAAAUAAGACAACCUUCAAUGUUUUAGCCCAGCAAAUCUCAUUGCCCCAUGGCAUAAAACCAAGGGUGAGAAGCUUUCUGGGGUCCCUCAGCUGAUACAAGUGGGUGUUUUCUCUCACUGGACUCAGACAAGUUGGUGACCAGCGCACAGUAAACCUGCUUCACAACAAGAGGAGAAGGAAUUCCAUUUCUAGGUAUGAGGCCACAGAAAUUUACUAAAAGAGAACUUAACAUAAAUGAGAAAGGUAGUUGUGAUGAACAGAAUGAAGAUGUCCUAGAGGAAGUAAUGCUGGCAGAAAAUUUUCACGUUAGAAAAAACUCUUGGAGGUGUUUCAAGACACUGAAAGAACGAAGAAUACAAUGCGGGAAGCCGAUCCGAACUUAGAAAAGCGUAUGAUAAUUCGCCAGUGCAUAAAGAAAGAUGGUGCUCCACAUUGUUAGUUACAUGACAAGGAGGCAAGCAUGGUUUAAACUACUUUUGAUAAGUUUUUAUGAAAAGUAACUUUAGUUUUAAACAUUUCUCAUGUUUUAAGUUAUAUUGUAAGCUCAAAAUGGAGAAAGGAACAGAGUAAGAACAAUGGCUUCAGGAGGAAAAUGCAAUGAUAGAAGCUUUGAAAGAAAGACGACUAGAAUUCAGUCAUAGUAGAUGAUGAUACCUGCCUGUCUGACCUUUGGGGAAGGGGAAUUUCUGAAACCUAAGGCUUCCUUGUAUUGCUCAAUUCAGUGAGAAAGAAAUCACUAAUGAUAGUAAGCAUUCUGUCAUUUUUCUAACACUUAUUAAUUAUUAAAACUUGUUAAGUAAUAAACUAGUUUAU
rnacentral:lncRNA from 1 species